rnacentral:sRNA from 1 species
UGACAUCUUAAUAGGCGCAGACAUGUU